rnacentral:rRNA from 1 species
CCCUUAGAUGUUCUGGGCCGCACGCGCGCUACACUGAUAAUGUCAACAAGCUUUACCUUGGCCGAUAGGUCUGGGCAAUCUUCGAACUAUUAUCGUGAUGGGGCUAGAUUAUUGCAACUAUUAAUCUUAAACGAGGAAUACCUUGUAAGCGCGGGUCAUCAUCCCGCGCUGAAUACGUCCCUGCCCUUUGUACACACCGCCCGUCGCUCCUACCGAUUGAGUGGUCCGGUGAGGCUUUGGGAUCUGAGCGGAAAGAGCGUUUCGCUGUUUCUGCUCGGAAAACUCAGUCGAACCUUAUCAUUUAGAGGAAGGAGAAGUCGUAACA